ACCUGCGCCUCUGGUGCUCCGGGCCGAACCUGGGUGCUCCCCGAAUCCCCGGAGUGCGCCGGCGGAAGGGCGCGUCGUGGCGGGGUUAGGGCUGCGAUUCGGUCCCGGCCGGGGCGUCCUCUGAGCUUGAAGCCUCAUGAAUUGUCAGCCAAGCUGAUAUGGCACAGCCUCCGGCUUCUCGGGUUGGGGUUUGGUAAGUAAAAGAACGAGGAAGACAGGAACUCCGUAAAAGAAGAGCAGAAUCUGCCUUACAAGGGCAGUUGGUGCCUGCUUUCGGCGAUGAGGAAUCAGGGUUGAGAUUGAAAACUCCUGAUGCCGAGACAGCCAUCUUGAAGCUCUGCGGUCACAAGCCUGAAAAGUAUAUAAACUUCAGUUUCUUGCACCCUGGGUUAUGUACUCAGUGAAUGGCUGGCCUAGGGGGCUGAACAACGUGCGUUAGAGCUUGCUGAAGAUACGUGAGACCGAGACAACUGGGACUGUGGCAGCGCUCCAGAAAGGAAGCCACACUUAGUGAAAAUAAGACAAAUUCAAAUAGAGGGACUUUUUUUUAAGUUAUUAUUAUUAUUAUUAUUACUUUUUUUGAGAUACAGUCUCAGUAUGUAGCCCAGGGCUGACUUUAAACUUGGUGCUUCUCCUGCAUGAGCCUUCUGAGCACCAUGAUUGCAGUAUGCACCACCAGGUUGUGGUGGUGACUAUUUCUAAUAUAAAAUAAAUCUCUAAUGCUCUAAGUAACACUAAAAAUAAAAGGCCAUUUUGUAUA